rnacentral:rRNA from 1 species
CAGCCGCCGCGGGAAAACGUAGGUGGCAAGCGUUGUCCGGAAUUAUUGGGCGUAAAGGGCUCGCAGGCGGUUUCUUAAGUCUGAUGUGAAAGCCCCCGGCUCAACCGGGGAGGGUCAUUGGAAACUGGGAAACUUGAGUGCAGAAGAGGAGAGUGGAAUUCCACGUGUAGCGGUGAAAUGCGUAGAGAUGUGGAGGAACACCAGUGGCGAAGGCGACUCUCUGGUCUGUAACUGACGCUGAGGAGCGAAAGCGUGGGGAGCGAACAGGAUUAGAUACCCCGGUAGUCCCUGUCUCUUAUAA